GAGGAGGUGGUGCAGAUGGCGGGCUCGGUCAUGGCGAGGAAUACCAAGAACGGCGUCGAUCGGCCAAGAACGGCGUCGAUAAGUAACUGAAGGUAGACAUCUCGUACCUUUCCUGUUGAUUCUUUCGCUUUUCCUUGAGAUCAAAAGCGAUGUAGUUUCUUCUUUCACUUCGCGAUCUCCUUCGCGAGAGCGAAAGUGCUGAUAACAUGUUGAAAGUGAAUAAGAUUGAUUGAGCGAGAGGGAUUGAGCGAGAGAGAAUUGCACACAAGAAUGUAGGGAAUGAAUGAGCGGUAUCUUUAUUGAUCGAUGCGGUAUAAUAUAUAGAUAGGGAAGGGGUGGCAACCGGAGACGCGAUGGUUGGGAACCAUCACGUCCGUUGCCAAGGAGCGCCUAGGGAAGGCGCGGUUGCCUUCGGUUGCGAUCCAUCCUUUUAUAUGGAUGAGAUCACCCUGUUGUUUCAUAACAUGAUCAAUGGAUCUGACAGGAACCGAAAAGGAGAGGAUGGUCAUCUGGUCAAGCGAUGCAACAAAAUUUAUAACUCCGUAUUUUUGUUACUGUUCUGGUAUGGUUCACAGUUGGCAGCGUUACCGGAAGCUUUUGUUGGUGGCUAUCCUCGUGGAUCCACAUUUGGCUUCAGGAUCAGCGUCUAAAGUUUAAUAAAUAUUAGUAUUAGGAUCGUUACAUAUUAAAUUUGUGAAUAUGAACCUUAAGGUUAACCAAUUUUGUGGUUUUUAUCUUCGGUAUAAUUUCAUGAGCUAUUAUAGCCUUCGACGAAAAUUGAUGAGUAUUGACCAUUUGAAAAAAAAACAUUAAAGCUGAGUUCUUAUCUCCACUUCUCUAACCCACAUCUCUCGUUUUCCGCGCGCACGCUUUUCAAACUGCUAAACAGUGUAUUUUUUACAAAAAAAAUUUAUAUAUGAAAGUUACUUUAAAAAAUUAUAUUAAUCCAUUUUCCAAAUUUAUUUUAGCUAAUACAUUGAACACAGCCUAAUAGUGUUCUCCUGCCCAACAUUUUGUGAGUACUAGUAUUGGGAUCAUUGCACAAGAAAUUCAUGAAUAUUAACAUUAGGAAAACAGAAUUCAUAACUUUUAUAAAAAACAUGAAUAUUUUUCUCAUGCACAAAAUUUGGUGAGCAUUAAAAUUGGAAUCGCCAUGCACAAAAUUCAUGAAUAUUAACGUUAUGGAAAAAAACUCAUGAUUUUUAUUCUUUAGCCUGUAAUUUCGUGAGUUAUAGCCUUUGGCCAAAAUUUAUAAGUAAUAAACUUUGGAAAAAAAACAUGUGUGGUUAUUUAUUUCUCACCCAAAAUUUUACGACUAUUUGCCUUGGGCCCAUACGAAACAAAAUUCAUGAAUAAUAACCUUAGGGCAAAGAAAUACAUGAUUUUUAGCCCCCUGCGUAUUAUUUCAUGAGUUAUAGCUCAUGAAUUAUAAAAAUCAUCGAUCAUAUUUUUAAUGCUCGUGAAAAUUUUAAUAUUAACCUUUUAAAAAACACGGAAUUAUUUUAGGCCUAUGGAAAAUAAUAUUAACGCUACAACAUCAAAUUUUAUGAUUUUUUUAUCCUUCACCUUAUAAUUUCAUGAGUUAUAUCCCUCAAGCAAAAUUUAUUAGUAUAAACCUUUGAAAAAAAAUACAUGAAUAUUUAUUUAUGACCCAAAAUUUCUUGAUAUUUAUCUCAGGCCCAUUUCUUGAAUAUUAACCUUAUUAUAAAAAAAAUUCCAUGAAUUUUAGUCGGCCUAUAAUUUCGUGAAUUAUAGAAUUUAGCAAAAAUUGACGAGUAUUAACCUUUUGGGAAAAAAGAAACGCAUGAAUAUUGCUCUCUGUUCCAAAAUUUCACAAGUAUUAUCAUUAGGGUCGUCGCACUAAGGAGUAAAAUUUUCAUGAUUUCUAGCCUUUGCACUAUAACUUUGUGAGUUAUAGCCUUCUACUCAAAUUAAAGAGUAUUAACCUUUUGGGGAAACCAUACGCAUAUUUAUCUCCAGCGCAAAAUUUCAUGAGUAUUUGCCUUGGGUCAGUUCAAAAAAGUUUCAUUAAUAUGAACGUCAUGACAAAAAAAUCAAGAUUUUUAUCCAUCGGCAUAUAGUUUUAUGAGUUAUAGCCUUGGGAGAAUAUAUGGCACGGAUAUUUAUUCCCGGCCAAAAAUUUCUUGAGUAUUUGCCUUGGGCCCAAUCGAAACAAAAAAAUUCAUGAAUACUAACAUUUAUCCCGAACUGACCCAAGGCAAAUACUCAUGAAAUUUUGGGCUGGAGAUAAAUACCGGAGGUUAUAGCCUCCAGUAUAUAAUUUCGGUAGUUAUAGCCUUUAGCUAAGACUGAUGGGUAUUAUCCUUGGGGGGGAGGGGGGAUGAAUCAAUUUUUUUUCCAACCAAAAUUUUCAUGGUAUUAGCAUUGUAGUCACUGCACACAAAAUUCGUGAACAUUAACCUUUUGAGCAAAAGGUUUGUGAUUUUUAGCGGUCAUCCAAUAAUUUUGUGAGUUAUAGCCUUCGAAGAAAAAUAUGUGAGUAUUAUUAACCUUUUGGAAAAUAAAUGCAUGAAUAUUUUUUUCUCAAUCCAAAAUUUUAUCAGUACAACUAUUGGGAUCGUUCGACACAAAAUUCAUGAAUAUUAUUGUUAGGACCAAACAUUUCAUGAUUUUCAUCGUUCGAUCUAUAAUUUCAUGACUUAUAGCCUUCGAGCAAAAUCCAUGAGUAUUAACCUUUGGAAAAAAACAUGAAUAUUUAUCCCAUCGCAAAAUUUCACGCGCAUUUUCAUUGGCCCACUUGGAGAGAGAAAAAUGUGAAUGUUAAAGUUAGGAUCAAAACUUUCAUGGUUUUUAGCCUGACAUAUUAUUUCGGGAGUUAUAGCCUUCGGCAAAAAUUGAUGAGCAUUAACCUUUCUCUCUGACAUAUUAUCAGUAUUUCUCUCUGGCCCAAAAAUACAUUAGUAUUAUCAUUGUGGUUGCUGCACACAAUAAAAAUUAGGGGAAAAUUUUGUGAUUUAUAACCUUCAACAAAUAUAUGAGUAAUAACCUUUGGGAAAAAUGCAUGAAUACUUUUCGUCGAUCGUUGAGCAUAAAAUCCAUGAGUAAUAUACUUAGGACCAAAUGUUUUAUGAUUUUUUAUCGUUCAUCCAAUGAUUUCGUGAGUUAUAUCCUUCAACUAAAACUCCUAAGUAUUAACCAUUGGAAAAUAUGCAUGAACUAUGGUCCAAAAUUUCAAGAGUAUCUGAGUUGGGCUUAUUUGGAACAAAAUUCAUGAACAUUAACCUCUGGAUUUAAAAGUCAUUUUUUUAGCUUCCGGCUUGGUAUUAAUGAUCUGAGAAAAAUGCAUGAAUAUUUUUCUCUAGCAACAAAAUCCGUGAAAAUUAAAGGAUUUUUUUUGGGGGGGGAAUAAAUAGUUUUUUCCGACCCAACAAAUCAGAUAACAUAUUUUUUAGGCUUUGGCCGAAAUUCAUGAGUAUUAAGUUUUAGAAAAAUAAAUGAAUAUUUAUCUCUAUCCCAAAAAUUCACGAAUAUUUGCCUUGGGCCCAUUCAGAACAAAAUAAUUCAAUAUUAAUAUUACGAUAAAAAAAUAUAUGUUUUGCCCUUCAACCUAUAAUUUCAUGAUAUAUAUCCUUCGGGCUUCUGCCAAACUUUCCUUGCUAUGAACCUUUGAGAAAAAAACCCUUGAAUAUUGUUCUCCAUGCCAUAUUUCACAACAACCAGCAUUGGCGUCAUUGCGGAUAAAAUUCACAAAUGUACACAUUAGGACAAAAAUUUCAUGAUUUUAAAACAUUUCUCCGACCGAAAAUUUCAAUAGUAUUAGCCUUGAAACAUUUCUACAUAAAAUUCGUGAAUGCUAACCUUAGGAUGAAGAAAAUUCGAUAUUUUUUAGCCUUUGGCCUAUUAUUUCAUGAUCUUUUGGGGAAAAUGCAUAAAUAUUUUUUUCACUCCAAUAUUUCAUGAGUAUUUGCACUGGGAUCGACGCACAUAAAAUUUAUGAAUAUUAACCUUAUAUCUUAUAAUUUUGUGAUUUUAGCCUUCGGCCUAUAAUUUUGUGAGUUAUAGCCUUCGAAAAAAUUGUUGAAUAUCAAACUUCUGAAAAAAAAUCAUGAAUAAUUUUCUCCGACCCAAAUUUGAAGAGUAUUGCCUUGAAACCAUUCUUCAUAGAAUUCAUGAAUGCUAACCUUAGGACCAAACAUUUCGUGAUUUUUAGCCUUCGCCCUAUAAUUUUGUGAGUUAUAACCUUUGGCCAACAUUUAUGAAUAUUAACCUUUUGAAAACAAAAUGCAUGAAUAAUGUUCUACAGCCUAAAAUUUUAGCACUAUUAGCAUUCACAAAAAUCGUGAAUAUUAGACGUAGGAGUUUUUUUUUUCCUUCGGUCUAUAACUUUCGUGAGUUCUUGCCUUGGGGGAAAUUGAUGAGUAUUCAAAUUUUGGAAAAUAAAAUGCAUGAAUAUUGUUCUCUUGCCCAAAAUUUCAAGGAUAUUAGCUUUGGGAUUGUUACACACAAAAAUUCGUGAAUAUAGUUAUUGCGUUCGGAAAGACAUGCAUAAAUAUUUAUCUCCAGCCUAUAUAAUGUCACGAGUUAUAGUGUUGGCGUCACACUUCAAUUUCUUUGUCAUAUAGUACUCACUAGUGUAUGCACUAUGCAGCAGGUAUCGACAUAUAUUGUGCUCCGGCCCGUUGCUGAUUGAUUCCAGGUAAGUUUGGCAAAGCGUCCAUGACUCAUAUUGUCAUAUUGCCUCCAUGACAACAAGCGAGGGGAAAUGCUUUAGGUGAAUAACCGGAGGAAGUAUCCGGAUGAUGUAUUUGCUCCUGGUCUAGGUGAAUAGCCUUCUCUGGACACUGUUGUCUGCCCUGGAGGUAGUUUUGAUAACAUUGACAGGUAUCUGGAUUGGCAGGUCCCAAGUACGACGGAGAGGCCGGCGCAGAUUAGAGCUGAUCUAUAGGUAAUCACAUAUGUCCAUAAUAUAUGUUUUUUUUAAUAUAAAUGUUUCCGCACAACAAAUUUGUUUCAGUGCUCCCUCAGUUUUCUGGCGCCAACUUUCCAAUAGUUGUGAGAUAAUUAAUUCAUAUACUGUACCUGUUGCUAUAUAAGAGCAAGUUCAAUAGUAUAGCCAACUACUAGCUCCAAUUCAUCUAUAGUCAAUCUAAUAGCCCAUUCAUACAAUAGUUACAUACUACACUAUUAAUAUCUAGUCCCACCUGUCAUAGACACACUGCGUCUUGGAGUCCGUGCUACAGCUGGCUACAAAUCUGUAGCCCGUUGCUCUUCUCUCUCUUGAUUUAUCUUCGUAAAAUAUGUUUGUAGCUGGCUUAUAGCCUGCCAUUGUACCUGCUCUAACGCAGCAAAGUGUGAUGAAUGUUGGUGUUGAUGAUGGGAUCAUGGGAAGUAACCAUGAGAUAACAGAGGUAUUGUUCGAUGGAGUAAGUGUAUUAUAUGUAUGUAAAUAUUAUAUUAUUGUAAAUCAUUUUGAGGAGCUAGACUAGCGUGCCUUAUUAACAAGGAGAUAUGUACCAUUACAUGAUGAUUAACAUAUAAAUCUGUAGCUACAUGGAAUUAAGGUAGUGGAGCAGAGGAGGAAGGAUGAUAGAAGACUCCAAUUCUCCAUGGAUGGGAAUGGGAUCAGGUGGCCUUGCAGAACUCUCCGCCCAGAUCGUCGCACGCCUCCUCGGGGAACACCCUGCGUGCA
rnacentral:lncRNA from 1 species